rnacentral:rRNA from 1 species
AGUGAACGCUGGCGGUAGGCCUAACACAUGCAAGUCGAACGGCAGCACAGUAAGAGCUUGCUCUUACGGGUGGCGAGUGGCGGACGGGUGAGGAAUACAUCGGAAUCUACUUUUUCGUGGGGGAUAACGUAGGGAAACUUACGCUAAUACCGCAUACGACCUACGGGUGAAAGCAGGGGAUCUUCGGACCUUGCGCGAUUGAAUGAGCCGAUGUCGGAUUAGUUAGUUGGGGGGGUAAAGGCCCACCAAGGCGACGAUCCGUAGCUGGUCUGAGAGGAUGAUCAGCCACACUGGAGCUGAGACACGGUCCAGGCUCCUACGGGAGGCAGCAGUGGGGAAUAUUGGACAAUGGGCGCAAGCCUGAUCCAGCCAUACCGCGUGGGUGAAGAAGGCCUUCGGGUUGUAAAGCCCUUUUGUUGGGAAAGAAAAGCAGCAGGUUAAUACCCCGCUGUUCUGACGGUACCCAAAGAAUAAGCACCGGCUAACUUCGUG